AGAGUGUCUCAUCUGUGAUUUGACUGCCUUUUCUGAGGUUCUCCUCCAGCUGCCUCCCCACUGCCUGUGUUCAAAGCCUGGAACCUGGCACAGCUUUGCCCUCAAGGCCCAGUGCUUGAUCUUCAGUGAUACUGCCUUCCUGCUUCAGCAUUUACUUUGUGCCAGUCACUGGGCUAAUUGCUGUGAAUAUGAAGAAAGAUGAAAAUAGUCCCUACAUUCAUGAAACUUGCAGUCUAAUGAAAGAAGAGAUCAUAUAAGGAGGAGAUGGAACAUUUUGGAGAAUUGGUGUAGGGGACAUGGUGUUGAAAUCUGGAAAGCCAGAAGCAUC
rnacentral:lncRNA from 1 species